UCACACCUUCUAUCAUCAAUAUCAUUCUCACUGUCUUCUCCUGAAAAUGAUCGAGAAAGAUCUAGAUUUUGUGGUUAACACCAUGGCAGGGUUUCGCCGACAGAGGAAAUUCUAACUCCCAUCGGAGAAAAUACGUCAGGCAUUGGGUGUCUGCGAAUGUAAUAUUCCUAAGACUCUCCAAAGCCAAGCGGAGAGGACCAGAGACUAACAUCAUUUUCUCUAAAGUUCCCCGAUAAGAGUCUACCCUUACGACAAUGACCAUAUGAUCAUCACUGUGCAACACGUAAAUUGAGAUAUCAAACGAGACUUGAUAGACCUGGAAAGCUCGACUAACAUCCUAUUAUAAAGCACAUUGCAAAGCUCCAGCUUGAUCCCGAUAGCAUUAAGGCGUCCUAAGGUUCACUAGUAGACUUGUCAGGAGAGCAAGUGUAAUUAAGCAGCAGAUUCCAAGACAAUUGUAGUCAACUACCUCAUAGUGGACACCUUAUUGCCCGAUAAUGUCAUCCUCGAUAAACCAACCAUUAACUUGUUAGGGGAAAUUAUAUCCACCUAAUACCUAGUCUUGAAAUAUCUUUUAUCCAGCGGGCUAGUCGAAAUAGUACGAGGAGGCCAAGAAAACACCUAGGAAUGUUAAUAAUCCCUUAUUUUUUACUUGAAUUAAUAAUCCCUUAUCUGUUUUUUUUUAAUUCUUCAUCUUUUGCUGAAUUUUUUUAAUUUCACCACUUAUUUUCAAUUCCUUCUUGCCGUUUAAAUUGUCUUUAAAAAAUACAAUAUAAUUAUAAAUUUCUUUUUUCUAAAAUGAAUUUUAGAUUUUUUUUUUCUUUUGUAAAAUAAGAGACUAUUUUACAAAUAAAACUAACACUUUUGAUUUUUAUUUUAGCAAACUCAUUUAAAAAGAUAUUAAUAUUGAAAGAGUAAAUUUUUUAUAUAAAUUCAUACAGCAGAUUCCAAGACAAUUGGAGUCAACUACCUCAUAGUGGACACCUUAUUGCCCGAUAAUGUCAUCCUCGAUAAACCAACCAUUAACUUGUUAGGGGAAAUUAUAUCCACCUAAACCUAGUCUCUGAAAUACUUUUAUCCAACGGGCUAGUCGAAAUAGUACGAGGAGGCCAAGAAAACACCUAGGAAUGUUAUAAUCCCUUAUUUUUUUUUUUACUUGAAUUCAACUAAAUCGCCUUAUCUGUUGUUUUUUUGAUAUCUUCAAAUAUCGUCUUCUAUGGUGCGUUAAUACUAGCUGCGUGCUAGCUUAAUUAAUUUUUUCUCACAUUACUCUUCCUGUCACAACACGUCGACUCUAGUGAAACCUUGGACCCGGAAAUAUAAUUCGGAUCAAGUGGAGCUUUUGGACCAAAGUGUGUAUAAUGAAGAUGGGUGUAAGUCGAAGGCUUUGCCAGUCGUAUCAAAGGACGUCGUUAUAAUUCUCCAACGUAUGUGUUGCAUACCAGUGAAGGUAGCAUAUGGCGGAUUUGCGAGGUAGUUAUUCCCACUAUUGCCUCGUUCUUGGUAAUUGUCUUUAAAAAUACAAAUAAUUAUAAAUUUGUUUUUCUAAAAUGAAUUUUAGAUUUUUUUCUUUGUAAAAUAAGAGGACUAUAUUUAUAAUAAAACUAAACACUUUGUUUUUAUUUUAGCAAACUCAUUUAAAAAAAAGAAUUAAUUGAUGUUGAAGAGAACGUGCUGUGACAACUUUUUCUAUAUAACCCAGUCUUUCAUGGCUUUUGAAGAGAGGUCUUAGGAAAACAUGAAUUCCGCCCAAAACGAUCCACAUCCCCGAACAAGAUCUCCUGUAAAACAGAUUUCUUAGUUUGCCGGGUCACUCCUUACCGGCAUAUAGAGGGUGUAAUCACGUAUCAUGGUGUACUAUUUAUGGUGCCACUAUAUGCUGCGAGGUUGACGGCCGCGAACCCACACGUCAUGGCCGUGCGCCAAUGGUAAAAAGCGUUAGAUGAACUCCCAUGCGAACAUCUCUUACACCCUACUAUCUGCACCUCAUCAAGUAUUCCAUUCCUACACUGUCUUCCUACCUGAAGAUUACUGAGUAACGAGGAGAAAGAUCUCCCGAGGAAUUUAUUAGUGGAGCAUAAGUCGAGACCGUGAAGUGGGUGCCAGAGGUUUCGCCGACAGAGAGGAAAUUCUAACUCCCAUCGGAGAAAAUACGUCAGGCAUGUGGUGUCUGCGAAUGUAAUAUUCCUAAGACUCUCCAAAGCCAAGCGGAGAGGACCAGAGACUAACAUCAUUUUC
rnacentral:lncRNA from 1 species